CGGCGAACGGGUGAGUAACACGUGGGUAAUCAACCCUCGGUACUGGGAUAGCCCGGGGAAACCCGGAUUAAUACCGGAUGGCCCUUUGGAUCUUCGGAUCUGACGGAAAAGGUAGCUUCGGCCUCCGACCGAGGACGAGCCCGCGGCGGAUUAGCUUGUUGGUGGGGUAACGGCUCACCAAGGCGACGAUCCGUAGCUGGUCUGAGAGGACGAUCAGCCACACUGGGACUGAGACACGGCCCAG
rnacentral:rRNA from 1 species